UACGUAGGGGGCAAGCGUUGUUCGGAAUUACUGGGCGUAAAGGGCGCGUAGGCGGCACAGCAAGUCGGGAGUGAAAGCCCGGGGCUCAACCCCGGAACGUCUUUCGAAACUGCUGAGCUCGAGUGCGGAAGAGGCAACUGGAAUUCCCAGUGUAGCGGUGAAAUGCGUAGAUAUUGGGAAGAACACCUGAGGCGAAGGCGGGUUGCUGGGCCGACACUGACGCUGAGGCGCGAAAGCCAGGGGAGCAAACGGG
rnacentral:rRNA from 1 species